AACACGUGAGUAACCUGCCCUUGACUCUGGGAUAAGCCUGGGAAACUGGGUCUAAUACCGGAUACGACCAUCUGGCGCAUGUCAUGGUGGUGGAAAGCUUUUGUGGUUUUGGAUGGACUCGCGGCCUAUCAGCUUGUUGGUGGGGUAAUGGCCUACCAAGGCGACGACGGGUAGCCGGCCUGAGAGGGUGACCGGCCACACUGGGACUGAGACACGGCCCAGACUCCUACGGGAGGCAGCAGUGGGGAAUAUUGCACAAUGGGCGCAAGCCUGAUGCAGCGACGCCGCGUGAGGGAUGACGGCCUUCGGGUUGUAAACCUCUUUCAGUAGGGAAGAAGCGAAAGUGACGGUACCUGCAGAAGAAGCGCCGGCUAACUACGUGCCAGCAGCCGCGGUAAUACGUAGGGUGCAAGCGUUAAUCGGAAUUACUGGGCGUAAAGCGUGCGCAGGCGGUUUUGUAAGACAGGCGUGAAAUCCCCGGGCUUAACCUGGGAAUUGCGCUUGUGACUGCAAGGCUGGAGUGCGGCAGAGGGGGAUGGAAUUCCGCGUGUAGCAGUGAAAUGCGUAGAUAUGCGGAGG
rnacentral:rRNA from 1 species